rnacentral:tRNA from 2 species
GCCAGUGUAGCUCAGGGGUAGAGCAAUCCCUUCGUAAGGGAAAGGUCGGGGGUUCAAUUCCUCCCACUGGCUCAA